CAAUAGCGUAUAUUAAAGUUGUUGCAGUUAAAAAGCUCGUAGUUGGAUUUCUGGUAGGAGUGACCGUUCCGAACUUGAUUGUUCGUGUAUUGUGUUUUCUCCAGCCAUCCUUGUGGAGAACUUUUCUUGCAUUAAUUUGUAGGGAUUGGGACCCGCAUCGUUUACUGUGAAAAAAUUAGAGUGUUUAAAGCAGGCAAUCGCUUGAAUACAUUAGCAUGGAAUAAUAAGAUAGGACUUUGGUGCUAUUUUGUUGGUUUGCAUACCAAAUUAAUGAUCAACAGGAACAGUUUGAGGAUAUUCGUAUGAACAUGUCAGAGGUGAAAUUCUUGGAUUUUGAUCAGACGAACUACUGCGAAAGCAUUUAUCAAGGAUGUUUUCAUUAA
rnacentral:rRNA from 1 species